rnacentral:rRNA from 1 species
AUUGAACGCUGGCGGCAUGCCUUACACAUGCAAGUCGAACGGUAACAGGUCUUCGGAUGCUGACGAGUGGCGAACGGGUGAGUAAUACAUCGGAACGUGCCCGAUCGUGGGGGAUAACGAGGCGAAAGCUUUGCUAAUACCGCAUACGAUCUACGGAUGAAAGCGGGGGAUCUUCGGACCUCGCGCGGACGGAGCGGCCGAUGGCAGAUUAGGUAGUUGGUGGGAUAAAAGCUUACCAAGCCGACGAUCUGUAGCUGGUCUGAGAGGAUGAUCCGCCACACUGGGACUGAGACACGGCCCAGACUCCUACGGGAGGCAGCAGUGGGGAAUUUUGGACAAUGGGCGAAAGCCUGAUCCAGCCAUGCCGCGUGCAGGAUGAAGGCCUUUGGGUUGUAAACUGCUUUUGUACGGAACGAAAAGCCUCUUUCUAAUAAAGAGGGGUCAUGACGGUACCGUAAGAAUAAGCACCGGCUAACUACGUG